CCUACGGGCGGCUGCAGUGGGGAAUAUUGCACAAUGGGCGCAAGCCUGAUGCAGCCAUGCCGCGUGUGUGAAGAAGGCCUUCGGGUUGUAAAGCACUUUCAGCGGGGAGGAAGGCGUUAAGGUUAAUAACCUUGGCGAUUGACGUUACCCGCAGAAGAAGCACCGGCUAACUCCGUGCCAGCAGCCGCGGUAAUACGGAGGGUGCAAGCGUUAAUCGGAAUUACUGGGCGUAAAGCGCACGCAGGCGGUCUGUCAAGUCGGAUGUGAAAUCCCCGGGCUCAACCUGGGAACUGCAUUCGAAACUGGCGGGCUAGAGUCUUGUAGAGGGGGGUAGAAUUCCAGGUGUAGCGGUGAAAUGCGUAGAGAUCUGGAGGAAUACCGGUGGCGAAGGCGGCCCCCUGGACAAAGACUGACGCUCAGGUGCGAAAGCGUGGGGAGCAAACAGGAUUAGAUACCCGUGUAGUC
rnacentral:rRNA from 1 species